UAGCCGUAAACGAUACUCGCUAGGUGUCGGCCACGGUGCGACCGUUGUCGGUGCCGUAGGGAAGCCGUGAAGCGAGCCACCUGGGAAGUACGGCCGCAAGGCUGAAACUUAAAGGAAUUGGCGGGGGAGGCACAACAACGGGUGGAGCUUGCGGUUUAAUUUGGAUUCAACGCCGGAAAUCUUACCGGGACCGGACAGCAACAUGAAGGCCAAGCUGAAGACUUUGCCGGAUUAGCUGAGAGGUGGUGCAUGGCGUAGUCGUGU
rnacentral:rRNA from 1 species